GCUCCUCCCCUGGUCAGGGUCAGUCUAAUCCCCUCAUACAACACUAUUUAAACCCGUUAAAACCCCCUAACUUGCCUUCAGGAGUUUGAUUGCUAGUCCUCCAUAUCAAUGCUAAUGUAAAGCUAAUAGAAUAGAAGUUGGAAGCUCAACUUUUUGGCGGCGCUGGUCUGGGGAUGUCUUGGAGCGUUUAAAGCUCAAGAAGCUGCAUUAGGUGAGCUAGCUACCCAAUGUUUUUAAUUGGGUCUGGCAGCCAUUUUUGGACUGGGAGAAGAGAGGAGCUGCAUGGAAUGCACUGACUCACUUCCAGGCCUCUACAGUAGAUUUCUUGCUUCAAAUGGUUGUGUAGGUGCGUCUGGCUCCCCUACAUUCAAGAAGCGCAACCCCUCCGUAAAGGAAUCUGGAGGAGAGAUGAAGCUGCAGAGGAGGAGAUGAACAUAUUCUGCAGGGAUCAUUGUUGCUGAAGGAUUACGAGGGAAACUGGCUGUUUUCAUCCUCUGUUCCUCUGCGUGGACGUCCUCGGAGUAGAGCACCUGACUGCUGAAGGACACUUAGCGUUUACCUGCAUGGAUCUGCUGGAUUAUUACCUGAGUGACACCUGGGCAGACUGCUGCCGUGGAUUUUUACAGAUCAGUUCCUGGUUAACAUUGAAUGGGACUGUUACCUGAUGUCUCUUCCUGCGACCGGGCUAGCGGAAAGAAGACAGCGGAGCUCCAGACAGACAGCGGGGCUUCACGGGGCUGCACGCCGGACAAAGCGAGCCGGCUGCCGGAUAGAAACCGCGCGGACUACCGGGGUUGGGGGAAACACGCUGAGGGUGCCGGUUGGACGUUUCUCGGCCGGCGUUGGGAGCUCUGUCCCGGACAAGUUGAGGCUUCCUCGGGGAAGCGAGAUAAAGAUAUGGAGGAGGUUGAGCGAUAUGGCAUCUUGUUUAAUUUCUGCCAAUCAAGACGAGAGGAAGACGACUCCCAAACUGGCAUGACGUAACGGGAGAGUGAAGACACGAUCAAGGGACCAGAAAAUGCAUAAACCGGAUGGAAAAUGGGAACUGAGGAGCAGCGGUUGCUGUAAUCUCCGCUGUUCAAUUAGCAGCGCUGACCGGGACGCCAGCUACACUUCAUUAACAGGGAGGGGAAGGUGAAACAUCAAGCCAGUAGGAGUACAUGAGAUGGGGAGUAAAUGAGAGCUUGCUGUCAGUAGUGUGAGCCAUUUCCAGGUGAAGCAAACUGAAUUAAACUGAACUGAUCUGAACUGGAAUGACCUGAAAACUGAACUGAACUGAAACGAAAGCUUCCUCCGGACAGGACACACGGCUCUCUGAGCUUUCGGAAAAAGAAUGUUCAUGCAGAGGAAAGCCUUGAAAUAAUACAGACGAAAGCCUGCUGUCAUGCAUGUUUUGUUGUCUCCUGUUAAUUCACAUUUACAUUAUGUUGUAUGACAUCAAUUUGACCUAAUUUAAUUAUGAAACAGUACAAUUUCAGCUUUCUCUUGUGUGCACAUGGUCCGUUUUAUCUUAUUUUCUUAAUUUAUCAUAAACACAAGGCAACUUUUAUUUCACUGUCUAUUAAGUUUAUUUCUGGUUUUUUUUGUGUAACUAUGUAUGUUCAUAUAUCUAUAUGAGGGAUAAUCAUGGAUUUAAGUCUUACAGACGCUAUAAUUAAUAUUUUAACAAUGUGAAAACGAUGUUACAAUGUGAACGGAGUCUCUUGUUGUGAUGAAGCUUCAGAGAAAUGUCUCCUGAAUCUUCAUCUCCUCUCAGCUUUAUGCUGCAUUCACAUGCAUCCAGGCAGAUGGGCACGACAAGACGAAAACACGCAUGGCAAAACGUUGCUAUGGUGAUGUAUUGUUUACAAAGAAUGGGAUAAAAUAUAUAAAAAUUAUUUUGUGUCUAUUUAGAAAUGCAUGUGGUUUCUUGUAACAUCAACGGUACAAUUCAAGUUCUAAUCAGAUCAUUUGGCUACUAGCUCAGCGUUGUCCAGAUAGUGGUUUCUCCUCGUGUGAGGGAGCUACGCAACAUCGGGUUCUUAAAGGUCCAGUGUGUAACGUCUUUAGUUGUUAUUUAUCAAAAUCUGUGUUGCC